AUGCAGGAGAGGUGCAGCGCGGGGCUCGGGGCUCCGACGAGCUGGGUGCGGCGUGACGGACGACGACGGACGCAGGGACGCGUUGAUCCGGGCGCUGGUGCUCAAUCCGGUCCCGUUCCGGCCGGAUCCACGGCGGUGCUCAUCUCCGGCGAGGUGGCCGGGGUGGCGGGGGUCCAGCAUCAUGGAGGCUCUUCGAGGGCGAGGAAGCAUACGGCGACGACAACUUUGAGGCCGGCGGGGGCACCGUCUUCGCGUUCGAUGGUCGUAGUGAACGUCGUGGGCUCCAACGCGGCCGCCGUUGGCUCUAUCCCCUACAGUCCAUAG
rnacentral:rRNA from 1 species